rnacentral:rRNA from 1 species
AUCGGAUNCUGGGCGUAAGCGCACGCAGGCGGUCUGUCAAGUCGGAUGUGAAAUCCCCGGGCUCAACCUGGGAACUGCAUUCGAAACUGGCAGGCUAGAGUCUUGUAGAGGGGGGUAGAAUUCCAGGUGUAGCGGUGAAAUGCGUAGAGAUCUGGAGGAAUACCGGUGGCGAAGGCGGCCCCCUGGACAAAGACUGACGCUCAGGUGCGAAAGCGUGGGGAGCAAACAGGAUUAGAUACCCUGGUAGUCCACGCCGUAAACGAUGUCGACUUGGAGGUUGUGCCCUUGAGGCGUGGCUUCCGGAGCUAACGCGUUAAGUCGACCGCCUGGGGAGUACGGCCGCAAGGUUAAAACUCAAAUGAAUUGACGGGGGCCCGCACAAGCGGUGGAGCAUGUGGUUUAAUUCGAUGCAACGCGAAGAACCUUACCUACUCUUGACAUCCAGAGAACUUAGCAGAGAUGCUUUGGUGCCUUCGGGAACUCUGAGACAGGUGCUGCAUGGCUGUCGUCAGCUCCUGUUGUGAAAUGUUGGGUUAAGUCCCGCAACGAGCGCAACCCUUAUCCUUUGUUGNCAGCGGNUCGGGCGGGAACUCAAAGGAGACUGCCAGUGAUAAACU